rnacentral:rRNA from 1 species
CUGGGCUAGAAAGCGCAAGAACCUCGGUGAAAACUGAGGGUGCCCUUCGGGGAACUUGUGAUUAGGUGCUGCAUGGCUGUCGUCAGCUCGUGUCGUGAGAUGUUGGGUUAAGUCCCGCAACGAGCGCAACCCUCGCCCUUAGUUGCCAUCAUUCAGUUGGGCACUCUAAGGGGACUGCCGGUGACAAACCGGAGGAAGGUGGGGAUGACGUCAAGUCCUCAUGGCCCUUACGGGUAGGGCUUCACACGUCAUACAAUGGUCGGAACAGAGGGUCGCCAACCCGCGAGGGGGAGCCAAUCCCAGAAAACCGAACGUAGUCCGGAUCGCACUCUGCAACUCGAGUGCGUGAAGCUGGAAUCGCUAGUAAUCGCGGAUCAGCAUGCCGCGGUGAAUA